rnacentral:rRNA from 1 species
GAAAGAUUCAUCGGAAGAGGAUGGGCAUGCGGCGCAUUAGCUUGACGGCGGGGUAACGGCCCACCGUGGCGACGAUGCGUAGGGGUUCUGAGAGGAAGGUCCCCCACACUGGUACUGAGACACGGACCAGACUCCUACGGGAGGCAGCAGUGAGGAAUAUUGGUCAAUGGGAGAGAUCCUGAACCAGCCAAGCCGCGUGAGGGAAGACGGCCCUAUGGGUUGUAAACCUCUUUUGUCGGAGAACAAAACCCGGGACGAGUCCCGGACUGCGUGUAUCCGAAGAAAAAGCAUCGGCUAACUCCGUGCCAGCAGCCGCGGUAAUACGGAGGAUGCGAGCGUUAUCCGGAUUUAUUGGGUUUAAAGGGUGCGUAGGCGGUCCGUUAAGUCAGCGGUAAAAUUGCGGGGCUCAACCCCGUCGAGCCGUUGAAACUGGCAGACUUGAGUUGGCGAGAAGUACGCGGAAUGCGCGGUGUAGCGGUGAAAUGCAUAGAUAUCGCGCAGAACUCCGAUUGCGAAGGCAGCGUACCGGCGCCAGACUGACGCUGAGGCACGAAAGCGUGGGGAUCGAACAGGAUUAGAUACCCUGGUAGUCCACGCAGUAAACGAUGAAUGCUGGUUGUCCGGGUCGAAUGAGACCUGGGCGGCGA